rnacentral:lncRNA from 1 species
CUUCCAUGUAUUUCUGAGAAGCAAGGCCACCUUCAGAGUUCAAACAGAAACACAUGCUAUAACCAGAGCAUGUUGAAAGCUGUGACUUCAUUUCUUGGAACUUUAACAGCUGUGUAGCUCAAAGACAAAUAACUCAUCCCUGGCUGGUCCAUCUCAUAACACAGACAUCCAGAAAAUGUCUGGCUUUUUUCUUUUUUUUUUUUUCUCUGUUACUUGGCAUCAAAUACCUCUGAUUUUGUUCCCUUCUAGACUGAGAACAUAUAUAGCUUGUUCUUGAGGAGUAAUUUUGCAUCUUGCUGAAGGCUUGUUUCCACCAGUGUUACGUGGUCCCUGGAAAAUUCUAAUGAUUUAGCAGUACUUGUCCAGUUUCAAGUGCAACCUCUUCCAUCGGCAGUGAUUUCUGUCAUUUCAUUUGGAUUUUCAAAGAAAAAAACAUCUGUUUUCUCAAAAUUCUGUUGGCAGCUCUUCAGCCCAACCACUUCCACAGAGCCCCAGUGAGCUCUGUAACAAAGCUAAUUCCCCUACAACUAAUUCUAGAUGUCAGUGCUGAAUGUGCUGAUUAUUUAUUUUUAUUUUUUUCCUGCAGAAAUCCAUGUGAUCAAUCUUGAGCUGACAAACCACAGCAUUUCUGAGGGUGUAAAUUCUGAUAUUGAAAGGAGAGGAAGGUGUCAUGGGAGCAAGGUGGAGAUUUUUUGCUGAAGAGUGUGAGGAGGGAGAUAAACUACUGAGGAAGUCAUUGUUUCGGGAAGUCAUUUUGGGUGAAGAUUGCCUGUUUCGUUUCCUAUUUGUUGCUUGCCCUUGGACUGAACAUAAGAGAAAAACAAAUGUAAGCUCUAUAAAAUCCUAAGUAGUGUUUCUGGGAUACUGGUGCUUCAAACCACUUAACUUGGCUUUGCUUGAAAGGAGCUGCAAGACUGAAGGGAAGGAGGAAGGAAGGCAGAAGUAGGGAAACUUCAUCAUUGUAUGGUAGAUUCCUGGAGGAUUUUUCUCCUAGUCCAACUCAACCUCAUGAGCUUCAUUAGAUUUGUCAGUGUUGCUCUGGGUUCCCUGCUUCCUCUCAGAGCUGAUUUGAUUUGUUAGCACCACUGUGUGGGCAGCAAGGUGGUCUGAAGCCUGUGGUCUUCCAAGCAGGGUUUGAACAAUGGCAGAGCACAUAGUUAGGAACUGCAUCUUGGAUAUGGAGAGCAGAGGCUGACAGACUGCACAGCUAACUCAUGGCCACAGAUGCUGCCUGUGCUGUCCAGCUGUUAGCGGUGUGCAGUGAGUAUUCCUUUUCUCCAUGGAGCAAUUCUGACUUCUCCCAUUCCUAUGUUGCAAUGUGAGCUGUCCUAGCAGCUACAAGAGCUUCUUCUUGUGCUACUUCACUUGAUUCUACAAGUACGACUACUGUUCAUCUCUUUUUCAGCAAGCAAUAUUGAACUGUCACAGUUUUUCUUCAGGAAAAGCAUAAAACUGCAAAUAUACCAGUGAUCACAGUUCCACAGAGUGCCCGUGUAUGAGUGCAUAGAUGAAAUGUGUAUAGACAGGCAAAAUGAAUAAAGCCUCAGAAUAUUUGUGGAAUAGUUUUUGGCUAACAAGACCAUUUUUAUAAUGGGUAACAUGAGAACAAAAAGCACAGGACAGCAUAGGCCAUGGAAAACUGGAACUUAACACAAAAUUAUAUAUUGCAUGUUUAAAAAAAAAAUGUAAGUAGUGUUUAACUAUGAUUAGAAGAAAUCUAAAACAUCUGCAAGAGCUCUUAAAUCAUGGAAAGUGGGAAGAAUUAAGCUAAUGCUGGGGAACAAAAGAACAAAGAACUAGGUGGAAUUUAUGCCUCUGCCUUAAUAUGCCAAACAUGCCCCUCUACUUGUUAUCACUAGUGCUAAGCAGAAAUUGUCCUAAGCAGAAAUGACUACGUCACUGUGCAAAGUUUCCGUUAAUAACUUAAAGCCCCCAAGCCUGAGUGCUGAAUUUCUUUCACCAUUGAGCUGAGUGGUUCUUGGCAAUUUUCUGUUUUCUUACUGAGUAUAGACAAUGGCACUCUUUUUUCUUAGUAGUGCGAGACAUUUAGGGUUAAUGAUACACUUAGGGCAAAGGGUAAAUUUGGCCUCACAUCUAAACUGCUCUUAAAAAAAAUUAAGAAAUGACUACAUAAUCAUUUGAGAAACUGAAUAAAUGUUGAUGCUAAUUUUGCUGCUGCUUAGAUUAUUUUCUAACUUAUGUUGCUUCCUCUUCAUUUACCUCCCCUUAAGAUAUUUCGGGUGUAGUAGGCCAACCAGUGAAUGUUGUAUUCUUUUAAUGUACCUUGGAAUAGUUCAGCAUAAUGCUUAUUUAAGCUGCUCAGCAUCACAGCUGUGUUCCACUCCUGUCCUCUCCUUGUGAAAGCCAGGAAAUGAAGCAACAGAUAGCUUCUUCCCUCCCCCUCAAAUUAAAUUUGAAUUAAACCAUUUUUCUUAUUUCUGCUGUUCAGCUCAGAAUCAACUGCUUUUAUCAUGAGAAGGACACAAACAAGGGGAGUUUCUCAACUAUGGCAACCUACAGCAUUAACCAUGGCAAAGAGAUGAGAGGGCCUUCCUCAGAAGUGUUGUUUUUUGUAUGACUACAUCUGGUGUCCAGUCUCCUAUUUAGGGCUUGAGUAUCUCCAGACUGUGCUGCUGUGAGAAAUCCAGCUGUGCAAAUGGAGGAAGCUAAUACUAAGUCUAUGCUUUCCUUCAUGUCACAGCAAACUCUUCUUUGAGGUACAAAUCAUUGCCAUGAUAAGAAAGGCAGAGAUUUAUUCUGUAUGCAAAUAGAUAUUAUUUACCCUUUUCUCCAUUAUAAGAAUGAUCUGGAUGUCAGUCUCACACAUCUCUGUCCCUGUUCUAAAUUAUCUGCCAUGUCUACAUUGAAAGACUGACCAUUAUAAAUGCUAUUCAGCUGCUAACUUGAAAACCAGCAGUUGUCAUCUUGCAGCACCAGAUAGCUCUGCACAAGCUGUGAAAGCCUUCCAAAAGCAGAGCUGUGCAGACUUGCUUCUUUGCAUGUGCCAACAUACUGACCCUCUGGCAGGGGCUCAGUUGCUUCGGUACUGAAGACACCUCUAGCUAUCACACUACAUCCAUCCAAGCUACUAUCUUUAUUUUCUUUAAAGGUGGGAGGUGACAGGGUUAGGUACAACUAUUGGUAAUUAGUGAGGUAAAAAUGCAGAGGGAAGAGCUGCAGUUCUCAAGGUUCUAUGUUAAAAUCCGUGUGUGUGUGUGUGUCUGUGUGAUGAGGUGAACCUACUGCUCCUCAGGCACAUGCAAUUCCUGAGGCAUUUUGAGGAUGUUGAAGCAAUACCGUAUUUGGCCACUUCUCUUCACAGUCCUUCUCUAGCUGUAGAGAAGGCUUAUGAAUGUGCUAGCAUUCCUGGGUUACUGCUCGACAUGCAUUAGAGAGAUCUGCUUUCCAUCUUCAAAGCUGUCAAGCAGCUUUUAAGAGAUACCGACUGAUUUAAAAACAAAACAGAAAAAUGACUUUCAGUGCAACUUAAGUCAGUCCCUGUGCAUUUCUCCCUCACUUAAGUAAUAUUUUCUCUCAGUUUUCAGUUUUGAAUUUGCAUAUUUUCUUGCAUACAUGAGAUUUUUUUAGGGGCUACUCCAAAUGACUGUAGUGCACAGUAAUCUCUGAAUGAUCCAAGUCUGAGACUUUGCAGCUUAACUGUAUUUAAGUGUUAUAAUUUUCUUUCAUAAUGGAUCAGGGUGUUUUGACUUUCUUUCUAGAGAAAUAUGGUGUGUAAGGAAAAGAGGGAGUCAUACAACAGGAGCAGUUUGUCUGAGGGAAAAGCCUGGAAUAGCAGUAUGUCAUAUUUUAUGGUUUUAAGGAAACUUCUUUAUGCUACAGAAUGGAACAUCACAUUGUGGACCUGAAGUGCUUAGUAAAGAAGGGAAAGAAUUUGGAAUGUAACUCCAGUAGUCUUAAAGCUCUUUAUGCUGAAAGAGUGAGUGAUGAAAUCAGGUUGGAGAAUAGUAAAGUGGCAAUUGUAUAUAAAUCUACUUCUUUGCUCCUAAAAUGUAACAGAAAACAAAGCUGGAGACUAGGAAAGUCUCACAGGCUUUUUGUGUUUAAUAGACCCCAAACCCUUGGUAAUUUCAUAAGAUGUCUGUUUAAAAGUGUUACUUGGCUUUAGAAAUUAAUGUCUACUUGCAUGUAUUGGUACCAGCCCCAUCUCUACAAGCUGCCUGCUCUUUAUUGCUUGCUGUAAUUCCUGGGGCCCUGGCUAGCUUUUUCUCAGUGGAGAAAGAAUCAAACCUCUAUUUUGUACAGUGAGUGUUUUUCUUGAAAGAAUGGAAGAGAUUUUGACCACAAAGGAUUAUGUCUUAAUUCUCUUGCUGCAGGGUAUAGCCCUGGGGAACGGAGUCCCCAUCUGGUACCAUACUCCCAUUAGGAUGCAAACCCUUCUCAGUCCUCUGGAACUACAUGCCCAAGUGAGGCCAGAGGCCAGUGCACCUUGAGCAACAGUCAAUUCCACGUUUCCAAGGAAGGGUGAAGGAAUUUUUAGGUGAUUUCUCAGUGAGCUAAGCAUUGUAAGUAAGCAUUUCUGAAGAUGGCUGAGUCAAAAUGAAAAGAAGGCAUUUCUGUAAGGGGAUCUUAUUGAUGUUUUUAAAUAUCUUUAGUGUGGGAGUUAAAGAGACACAUGGCCAACCUCUUUUCAGUGGGGACAGGACAAGGGGAAACAGCCAUAAACUUGAGCAUAGAUGUUCCACACCAACAUGCGAAAGAUAUGUGACUUCUUCACAGUGAGGGUGACAGCACUGGAACAGUGCCCAGAGAGGUUGUGGAUGCCCCAUCCCUGGUGGUGCUUAAGGUCAGGUUGGGGCCCUAGGCAGCCUGGUCUAGUACUUGAUCUAGUGACUGGCAACCCUGAUUGCAGCAGGGAAAUUGGAACUUGAUGAUCCUUGAGGUCCCUUCAGACCCAAACCAUUCUAUGAUGAUUAUAUGAUUUCAUAGCCAUGUUCAGUUUUGUAGUCACCUGCAAGUUUUAACUUGCCACUUCAAUGGAAUAGACAGUUUUAAGACUGUCUGAUUAUUUAGAUAGAUACAGAUAUCUAAAACCUGAUUAUAGAUGCUCCACAAUGUAAUCCUGUGCCAAGAGACACAGCCAUGUCUACAGGCUUUGAAGGGUAAAAGGGUAGAUGUGUUAUGUUAUUAUGGAGUUAAUAACAUAAUAUGGAGACAUGGAGAUUCUUCUUUAUUUGAAGAAAGAAAGGAGUGGUCCCUCUAACUGAAAGAUGCACUGUAUCUUGGCCUGCAGCUGUUGUAGUGUAGCACUUCUGAAAAUACAGCUAUAAGCUUUGAAUGAGUCUUGGUAAUAGCUGUGGCGUGCAAAGAAAUUAAGUCCUUUCAUGAAAAGCUUUCUAUGUUAGUUUUUUACUUUUCCCAUGUUUUGUAACUAAGAAGCUGAAUGUUGUUUUCUACCUUCUGGUAAAAAUCCAUGCUGAAUAAUUGUGUUCUUAAUUCUCACCACUCUUCCUCCUCUCAGUAAAAGGUGUGCUGCUCUGCAUUGAGCUCUUCAGGUGCUAACAUCAGAAAUACAUCAAGUAUGACUUCUAGCACAGUACACAUGUGAAGUGAGUUGGAAUCAAAGGCAUCUAAAGAGUACCAACUAUUAUUUUUAACCAAAAAAUACCUUACAACCUGCCAAGUAUUCACCAAGACUGUUCAUCCCAAGGGAUUUCACAGCCCUCCAUGGUAAGGAAAGGAGCUGUAUUCUUUAGGUCACCCAGAGUGGAGAUUUGUUCUUCUCAACUAAAAUCACAGUACCAUAAAUAAACUGAUCACAGCUGUAAUUGGCCUCCCAGGCCAAUUCCCUUCAUUCUAUCCCUUUUAGCGUAGACACACAUGCAUUCAUAUAGCACUGGGAAGUAUUCAGAAACAAAGCAAUGAUGAGUGUCAGCAGGGACACUCCCUGGCUUCUUUCAGAGACCAUUGCAGUGAUAAAGGCUAGUCUUCUGUACCACACUAGUGAUGGUGUCAGGAGAUUAUGUUAACCUAUUCAGUAGUUCAUCUUCCCACAGACUUCCUGUAUAGAACUACAGAAUCACCAAGGUUGGAAAACACCUACAAGAUCAUCCAGUCCUACCAUCCUCCUAUCACCUGUAGUUCUCACUAAACCAUGUCCCUCAGCACAACAUCUAAACAUUCCUUGAACACCAAGGUCGGUGACUCCACCACCUCCCUGGGCAGCCCAUUCCAGUGCCUGAAUGACCUUAUUUGCAGGUUUUGUCCUUUACACUUUCUAUCCAGUCUGUAAAAUGGCACACAAAACUCACAGAGAUAAAUGACAAAAUUAAAUACACUGAAGACUUGAGAAGUGCUUUGAUCUUACACUAUCUUGGUUUCUAGAGUGCUUUGCAGAGGUGUAAAUAUGAAUCUAAUUUGGAAUUACACCAAUCAGUUCUUUUAGAAAAGAGGAACCCCAGUUUGGGACUCCUUUUUGUUAAAUACAUCUCCUGAAGGAGCUUGAAUCAGCCUCUAAUGUUUUUAUCUCUACAGAUAGUUGCAGGUAAACAGGAGUGCAAAGGACAUCCCAGCUCAGUGUCACUAUCUAAGCAAUAUGCUGGGAAUGUUUUCUACAGCACCCUACAGUGCAUAUCAAGUUAGUAAGUAAAAGAGAAUAGUCUGCUGUGUUAGUGUCACUCAGGAGUGUCCCUAUUUCCACUUGCCAAGAUUUAUGAACUUAACCUGGAAGCAACAGUAACAGAUGGAAGCUUGUUUCCUACCAGGAAUGUUGUUAAGAAUAUCGUUAUAGAAGCAAGAUACAACGCCGGUAGGGUCACGAUAAAAAUAAUGCCAAGUUAUCUAGUCUAAUCCCUUGUCAAAUUCCGUAUGUCCUUCAGGCAAUGCAUGUGUAGAUAAGAUGUUAAUUGGUCAGGGAAUGUGCUGGAUAAGUUACAACGGUUAUUGCUAUUGAAGAUAUGCUUAUCAUCCACAGCUCAGUAACACGCUGUCUGGCACUCACUGGUGUCAAGUGUUUUACAUGUGUUACUGGGGACAGCAGCUACAUAAUCUGCUAGAUGUAAAUACUAAAGACCAAUGAUUGUCUGCACGUUUUCUCUGUAGAAGUAUACCUGCCUCCUGCCAGGACUGCAUUAAAAGCUCAGUAUUCACCUUUUCUAGCACUGGGGCCAUGAUUUUUACAGUAUAUCUUAAAAAUACAGUUCAUAAAACAAAAUCCAUCAGAUUCAGGAAUAUUCUGGAAUUCUAUAAAUCUGUAAUCUUCUUUUUUGAUGGUUCAAGUAACAUACACCCAAAGAUUGUCUCUUGUUAAUACUUCUGCAGCAAACAUUCAAGCUGUGCUCUUGUCCCAGCAGCAGAAAUCCAACAGUGGUAGUUAUCACCAUAACUUUGUGUGUACAAUCAGUGCACAGUAGGAUAAGUUUUGCACUAAUAUGUCUGAUGUAUUCCAGACAUAUGUCAGAGGCUGUUCCAAGGUAAGCUGCUAGAGGCAGCUCUAAAAUAGCUCCAGACUAGGGGUAUUUGGUUAAAGCUCUGUCUUCUAGCUUAUUCCAGUGGCCACUGACACUCCAAAAUGUGCAUCAUCAUCUUGCUGUCUAGCAGACCCAGCUUAUUGUUGCCAUGUGCCUCUUAAACUGUCAAAUGUAAGUAAUCUUAGGCAGCUAGUGGUAGCCAUCCAAAUGACUAUAUAGGAAGCUGGGAAAGAGGAAUGUGAGAAAAGAGCUACUCAGAUUGCCUCAAAAUUCUGUGUGUCUUGGAAAACUCUGCCAGCUGAAGGUCUUGGCUGUGCUGGUGUUGUGCUUGGGAAGCUUGGAUAGCUGAAUUUAAACCACAGCCUUGGUUCUGUCCACAACUGAAGCAGAGUGAUGAUAAGAGGGAGAAGAAUUUGCCAAAUGGAACAAAGAAAAAAUUAAAUCCAAGUGACUGCGUACAGCUGGGUCUUUGAUGCAUAUAUUUAGCCAAGAAGUGAUUGAACGAUUUAUUUUUUCACUUUAUAAAAAUAUUCACAGAAUUUAUUACAAUAAAAAUGAUGUUUUUGACAUUCUGACUUAUACCAGGGAUCCUAGUGAGUGAAGUGUACCUGAGCACAUGAUACUAGGAUGCUCUGUAGGAUUGCUUGACAGUACUAAACUGUUGGGUUUGUGGUGCCCUGAGCUUUCAGUGUGAGUUUGGAUGGCCCUCUCUUUGCACCCCCUGAGUGCUAUGGAUCUCAACUGUUGCAGCAUUCAGGCUGUUUUAAGAUCUGGGAUUUUAUUGUUCUUUUCUAAAUAUUCAGGCCAGUCUUGGGCAUCAGAACUUAUCCUACUGUCCUUGACAUUUAUGGAGCAAUGUAUUUGCUAUGUUAAAUCAGAAAUAUCUACAUACAAAUACUGUUACCUGGGAGGAGGCAGAGCAUCUUCAUUCAUCAGCAAUAUAUUAUUUUGCUGUUGAUUCCUUUGCGACAGCCUACCCACGAUGGAAAAUUUCUUCUGGUGAGGUAUUUAAACACAGGGUUUUUUUUUUUUUUUUUUUUUUUUGUUGUUGUUGUUUUUUAAAUUUUUUUUAAAUGGAAUUUAACAGAGAUUGUGAUCCUGAAGGCCUGUAAACACUGUUGUGUGUAAUGAAACUUUGGCAAAGGCAGAUUAUACAAUUCUGGCACAGAGAAGCUCACAUCUAUAAAAGGCAAGAUCUGUCCUUUGUUUAUUCCCUAGUAAAUCAGUGGAGUAUGUCUCGGUAUUUUAGCUUCAGCUUAGCAUAUUUUAUUUUCCUUUCUCAUUUACAGGCCAGUGAAAAUUGACUGAUUUAACGACAUAGGGACUGUUCAUUAAAAAAAAAAAAAAGGCUGGAAAGGAAACAUUUUCUCAGCUGUAAACAGAAUGGGCAGCAUAGUACAUUUAUGGUGUGGUAUUAUAAGCUUCAGGUGCCACAAGAAAUCUAUAUGUGAUUUAUAUCCACCCUAGGAAGCAAUAAACUUGAAAUGGUAGUUAAACACAAGGGAAAAAUCAGGGUGCACAUACGUACGAGAACUUAUUGAUUUGGAUAAGAUAUCAUUGACAUCUAAUGUUACUGAAGAUUUCUCUUUGAGAACGGUACUGCACUGCAGCAAGGACAAAGCAUGCAACUUCAUUACCAUUUUAAAUCGGCACCACAGCUUUGAUGUGAACUUCUGUUAACCUUAUUUGUUGUGCUUUUGUUUGUAUUGUUGAGUAGUCCUGGGGCACAGAGACUAGAUUGGGUACCUUUUAGAUGAAAAUGAAGCUAUGGCCAGACCAUCAGCAGACAUUCAGUUCACACAGGAUCUAGAGGAAUUCUGAAAUAAAACCUCCUAAAGUGGCUUAUAGGACAAACUGUGUUGUUUAGUACCAAAAGAUUUGCCCUAUAAAUUUGCUACUUCUACAUACUUCCACUUGCUAAUAUGGAUACAGUUGGGCUUGCCUAUCAGUACAGACAUAGAUAUAAAUAUAUAUAUGUAUAUGUACAUAUAUAAAGAGCUCCUGUUUGUCACACUUUUACAUUUAUUGGGCUGGACAUCUAGCUAGCAUAAAGCCAAAUGCAGUGUCAUUGAAACUGGCUAUUAUAAUCUAUCCUAAAUCCUACCGUAGUAUUACAGCCAGCUAAGUUUGCCAGGUACUGCCCACUGUUCUUUAAAAUACAAGCUCAGCAAGCCUAAGGGUAGAUGAUUGAAGUUGUUCUGACUAGCAGGAUUCCCAUUCCCAUAGCUGAGGAACCCUAAAUUCAAAGCAGGUCUGAUUACCUCUUUGCCCUUCACCUUGAUAUGACCAGCAGAUUUUCUAUAUGACAAUGUUUUUGUAUGAAAUGUUCCUUCAAACUCUCAUAAAAAUACCCAUUAAAUGGAUUAACUGCAUGCAAAAACAAAUGCCAAGAUUAAACCCUGUCAAAUCAAUACCAGAUGAGCCUUCAGAAUGAAUAAAAUAAUUCCCAGAUUAAAGGAUAUAUUAAAAAUGAAGCCUAUUAAAUGGGAUGCUAAAAAUAGAUGAAUUAAUAUUUAUUAUUAGUGCCUAGUUACCUAAACAAGAGCACCUUUGCUGUCCUUUAAAAUGGAAAUUAAAAUUGGAAAAGGGAAUGUGGGAAGUAAUGAAACUGCAAUUUAUAGGUGUAUUUAAUGUCAAGACACCACAGUCUUGAUUUACUUGGUGUUUUCCUCAACUGUUGGUUUCAGACAUAUCUGUUUAAGUCCAGAUAUAAUCUGUUCAGCUUGGCUGGAAACUAGUUUCAUUGCUGAAAGAAACUUGCUUUGAUAUUCAUAGAUUUUCCACUCAGAUGACUGUGAAGAAUUACUUUCAAAGAAUAAUUUUGGACAGGAAGAGAAAGCAAAGGUUCAAAAUGAAAAUUUCCAUCAUAUUAAUUUGUCACAGUUUUGUCUUGUCCUGUCAUUGUCGAGGAUUAGAUUUCAAAUACUCCCAAAUGAGAAGGGUAACGUAAGACUGUGUUCACUCACACUUCCUUAUUCAGCUUGAGGGAGCAGCUGGAACCUCGUCCCCAGUGAGAAAUCCCAAGUAUGGCAAUGAAAUAGCAUCUGCCAAGACUGACUGCAGCUGUGAGCUCAGUAUGAUGCUUUUGCCUCUCUUCAGAAGCUGUCUGCCAAGACCUGUCACUUGCACUGGUAUACUACAGGCGAGACAGAGUACUGUGAGACUCUUGGUUGUCUCAUUAACACUGAAUUCUAUCAAAUAAUUUUAUUCUCCUAUUGUACACAUUUGCCAUUUGUUUUGAUGAUUGUAUGAAUUGCCAUUUGUGGUAGCCAUUUGAAUUGUGUGAAAAUAAACAUUGACUUGUGUAUGCUUUAAUGCAGGCAGGCAACACUUUAGCACUCAGAGAGGAGAGAAUGUACAGGUGCAACAAACGUCAACUGUUUAUAAACUUUAUUCACAACAGCAAUUGUUUAGAACUGACCUCCGUCAAUGCUCCAACUUCUGCACGUGCCCAUGUCACUUAUAAAGAACUGUGUCAUGCAGGAGCCUGAAGAAAUGUGAAAUCAUGAGCACCCUGGGUCUAAUUCUGAGUCAUUUACGCUAGCAUAUUUGGAAGUAAUUCAACCAAAGUCUGUGAAGUCAUCCUGGUAUGAAAUGCCUUGUAAGAUCAGAAUCAAGACUUUCAUGUUGCUAAG